AUGAACGCUGGCGGCGUGCCUAAUACCUGCAAGUCGAGCGAACAGAUGAGGAGCUUGCUCCUCUGACGUUAGCGGCGGACGGGUGAGUAAUACGUGGAUAACCUACCUAUAAGACUGGGAUAACUUCGGGAAACCGGAGCUAAUACCGGAUAAUAUAUUGAACCGCAUGGUUCAAUAGUGAAAGACGGUUUUGCUGUCACUUAUAGAUGGAUCCGCGCCGCAUUAGCUAGUUGGUAAGGUAACGGCUUACCAAGGCAACGAUGCGUAGCCGACCUGAGAGGGUGAUCGGCCACACUGGAACUGAGACACGGUCCAGACUCCUACGGGAGGCAGCAGUAGGGAAUCUUCCGCAAUGGGCGAAAGCCUGACGGAGCAACGCCGCGUGAGUGAUGAAGGUCUUCGGAUCGUAAAACUCUGUUAUUAGGGAAGAACAAAUGUGUAAGUAACUAUGCACGUCUUGACGGUACCUAAUCAGAAAGCCACGGCUAACUACGUG
rnacentral:rRNA from 1 species